rnacentral:rRNA from 1 species
AAUAUUGGACAAUGGGCGAAAGCCUGAUCCAGCCAUCCCGCGUGCAGGAUGAAGGCCCUCUGGGUUGUAAACUGCUUUUAUUAGGGAAGAAACCCUUGGAUUCACUCCGAGGCUGACGGUACCUAAUGAAUAAGCACCGGCGAACUCCGUCCCAGCAGCCGCGGUAAUACGGCGGGUGCAAGCGUUAUCCGGAUUUACUGGGUUUAAAGGGUGCGUAGGCGGAUUUGUAAGUCAGUGGUGAAAGCCUGGAGCUUAACUCUGGAACUGCCAUUGAUACUGCAUAUCUUGAGUACAGUUGAGGUGGGCGGAAUGCAGCAUGUAGCGGUGAAAUGCUUAGAUAUGCUGCAGAACACCGAUUGCGAAGGCAGCUCGCUAAACUGUAACUGACGCUGAGGCACGAAAGCGUGGGGAGCGAACAGG